rnacentral:rRNA from 1 species
AAAGAUUAAGCCAUGCAUGUCUAAGUCCAAGCUGUGCUUGUCACGGCGAGACCGCGGACGGCUCAUUAAAUCAGUCGUGGUCCAGAUGGGCCAGUUUUGAACCUACUUGGAUAACUGUGGUAAUUCCAGAGCUAAUACAUGCAACCCUUAUCCUGAUGGCGUCGCUCUCUCUUGCAGGGCAGCGAUCGUCCUGACGGAUGCUUUUAUUAGACCAAACCGCUGAGGGCAGUGCGUGUUCGCUUUGCGGGCCGCACCGCUUGACUCGUUUAAUGGUGACUCUGGAUAACCUUUUUGACAAGCGCACGUACCCACUCCUUUGGGCGGGACGGCGCUGCCACUUUCGAGUGUCUGCCUUAUCAGCUAUCAACCGUUCGUUAUGUGCGACCGAUGGCUUUGACGGGUAACGGGGAAUCAGGGUUCGAUUCCGGAGAGGCAGCCUGAGAAACGGCUACCACGUCCAAGGACGGCAGCAGGCACGCAAAUUACCCAAUCCCAGCAUCUGGGGGAGGUAGUGACGAAAUCUAACGAUGCGGGCGCCCUUUCUGGGGCCCCGCAAUCGGAAUGAGCGCUUUCUAAACAACCCGUUGAGAACCUACUGAAGGGCAAGUCUGGUGCCAGCAGCCGCGGUAAUUCCAGCUUCAGCAGCAUCUAUUAAAGUUGCUGCGGUUAA